UUAGAACAAGUAUUUACAAGAAACAAAAUAUACAGAAUAAAUAAACGGUCAUUGCCAGUAUCACAGCACCACGCCGCCUGAGCUAUAAGUAAAACUUAACCAGUGCUCUAUUAUCUGUUAAUGUCAGCAAUCUAAUAUAAUAUACUGUUUGCAGGUUCAGCUGUUAAAAAGCAACCAAAAAUAAAAAAUACAGAGGGUGUAGCAGGUCCAUUCCCCAUUACAGCAUGUGCCCUACAGCACAGCCCGACGAAUCGCUCAACUCCCAUGAUUCAGCCAAUAGCAAAACAGGCUGAGGUGGUAUCUAGUCCGUCUCUCGCUACAUCGUAUGUGCUGAAACACAGCCCGAGGAAUAGCUCAACUUCCACAAUUCAACCAAUACCAAAACAGGCUGUGGUGGUACCACAUCCAUCCAUCGGUACAGUGCGUGUGUUGCUACACAGCUCAACAAAUGGUGCUGUUCUCCCACAUUUAAACCAGUGACAGGGCAGGAUAAGAUGGUAUCAGUGCCUUCCCUUACUACAGCGCAUGUUCUGCAACACUUCUAUGGAAUGCAACCUGUGAUGCCAGGAAACUCACAGAUAAACUAAAUCAUGUGCCAGAUGUCGAGCACCAUUGUGUUUGGAAGUUCCAUUGUUCUGUGUGCGAACAGUUUUGGAAGUGUGGAUGAAUCAAGUUUCUGAAACUGACUGGAAAGAAACUUAAUUUUCAAAAACUAAGAUUUUAUUGCAAUUCAUGAUACUGUGAAAUAUUUUUAUAAUUGCUGUACAUUCAGCUAAAAGUUACAGUAAAAUUUUCUUGUAAG